GAUGAACGCUGGCGGCGUGCUUAACACAUGCAAGUCGAACGGAGAGGCCGGGGCUUGGUCUGCUGGACGAGUGGCGAACGGGUGAGUAACACGUGAGUAAUCUGCCCCUGACUCUGGGAUAAGCGCUGGAAACGGCGGCUAAUACCGGAUACGAGCUGCGGAGGCAUCUUGGGCAGUUGAAAAGUACGGCGGUCAGGGAUGGGCUCGCGGCCUAUCAGCUUGUUGGUGAGGUAAUGGCUCACCAAGGCUUCGACUGGUAGCCGGCCUGAGAGGGUGACCGGCCACACUGGGACUGAGACACGGCCCAGACUCCUACGGGAGGCAGCAGUGGGGAAUAUUGCACAAUGGGCGGAAGCCUGAUGCAGCAACGCCGCGUGCGGGACGACGGCCUUCGGGUUGUAAACCUCUUUUGCCAGGGAAGAAGCGAGAGUGACGGUACCUGCUGAAAAAGCGCCGGCUAACUACGUG
rnacentral:rRNA from 1 species